rnacentral:rRNA from 1 species
UAUUUAUUAGAUAACAGACCAAUAUUCCUCGUGUCUAUUGUGGUGACUCAUAGUAACUGAUCGGAUCGCAUGGCCUUGUGCCGCGACUAACCAUUCAAGUUUCUGACCCAUCAGCUUUCGAUGGUAGUGUAUUGGACUACCAUGGCUUUCACGGGUAACGGAGGAUUAGGGUUCGAUUCCGGAGAGGGAGCCUGAGAAACGGCUACCACAUCUAAGGAAGGCAGCAGGCGCGUAAAUUACCCAAUCCUGACUCAGGGAGGUAGUGACAAGAAAUAACGGGUCGGGGCAUUCGCCUCGGGAUUGCAAUGAAUCGAAUUUACACCCCUUAAUGAGGAUCAAUUGGAGGGCAAGUCUGGUGCCAGCAGCCGCGGUAAUUCCAGCUCCAAUAGCGUAUAUUAAAGUUGUUGCAGUUAAAAAGCUCGUAGUUUGAUUUCUGGACGGGCGCCAACACCCGCUUGUUUAGUGUGGAGGCGGCGCCCGCCCAUCCUUCUGUUAACGCCACCGGCAUUCAUUUGCUGGCGGCGGGCUCAGAUAUUUUACCUUGAGAAAAUUAGAGUGUUUUCAGGCAGGCUUGCG